UAAUAAUUAAGUAACAAAUCAAGACACAUCAUUUUGUCUGAGAUAAAGAACUGAAACAUCUAAAAUUCUUACUAAAAAAAUGUGUCAGAACUGAUGCCAACCUACUUAAUUUCAUACAAAGAUUGAUAAAUUUGGUGGGAAGCAUACUUCCCAUGGCCCUAGAAAGGGUUAAUUGAGCUGAAUAAAACAUUGGUCCGUCAAUCACCAGCCAUUAGAGCAUUUUAUUGGAUUACUGAUUAUCAUUGUGGAUAAUUUGUGCAAUCUUCCCUUUUUGUGGUGAUCUUUGUGAAGAAAAAGUUAAAUUAUUGCCUCAAGGAAGAACAUAGGCUGAUUGCGGAGGAAUUGUGCGAUAAUGUAUCCCCAGAAGCCAUGGUGAAGGAAUUGGAGCAGCGGAGUUGAGAUUGGUAAGAAUUGUACAAGAAAAUGAAUUCCAAAAGGAAGUAAACGAUUUCCAAAAGAAUGAUUUUUUUGUUGGUUUCCCAUUGAAAUCUCUCUCUACAUACAGAGGUUUGCUCUGAUUGAUAGAGCUGCACAAACCAUUGAAGUUAGGAACAUGAAAAGCUGUUUCCUGGAUAUUAGUGAUCACUAAGAAGAUUUUUCCAAAUUUUAAUUAGAAGUUUAACUAAAAUAAAAAUGAAUCCUCUGAAGUUUCACUGCUACAAGAAAGUAAAGAAAUACGUUCACCUUCGUAUCGUUCUGCUUCAUAAACUGUCUUUAAUCCUAAG